ACAAACUGAUGAGGAGUGUCUCAUGCGUGUUUAUUUUGUUGAAAAUUUUAAAUCACAGUUAUAUGUGGCAUCCUGUUCACCUGCCUGAGAUGCUGGAGCUGGUUAUGUGGCUUGGGGCCACUCCACUCUUGUUGUACCAUUUGGAGAAGUCGUGGCAACCACCGAACACGAGGAGGCUAUAAUCAUAGCAGAGAUUGAUUAUUCACUAAUUGAGCUCAGGAGGACAAACCUCCCAUUGUCAAAU